CCUACGGGAGGCAGCAGUGGGGAAUAUUGCACAAUGGGGGGAACCCUGAUGCAGCGACGCCGCGUGAGUGAAGAAGUAUUUCGGUAUGUAAAGCUCUAUCAGCAGGGAAGAAAAUGACGGUACCUGACUAAGAAGCCCCGGCUAACUACGUGCCAGCAGCCGCGGUAAUACGUAGGGGGCAAGCGUUAUCCGGAUUUACUGGGUGUAAAGGGAGCGCAGACGGCUGUGCAAGUCUGGAGUGAAAGGCGGGGGCACAACCCCCGGACUGCUCUGGAAACUGUAAAGCUGGAGUGCAGGAGAGGUAAGCGGAAUUCCUAGUGUAGCGGUGAAAUGCGUAGAUAUUAGGAGGAACACCAGUGGCGAAGGCGGCUUACUGGACUGCAACUGACGUUGAGGCUCGAAAGCGUGGGGAGCAAACAGGAUUAGAUACCCGAGUAGUC
rnacentral:rRNA from 1 species